CCGGAGGUCACUCCCUCUCUCCGAUCUAUGUUACGUGAAAGGACAAACAGCCUCCGUACACUCUCCUCUCUCGCUCUCGUCUUCUCUGAAGUCUCAACCUCUCUAGGCUCAAUCUCUCACUCUCUCACGAUGAUGCAAGCGGCGCGCGGCGGAGGAAGCCUCUAUCAUUUGUUCCGUUUCUGAUUCGCGAUGUUGUUAUUGUUGUUUGCAGGUGAAGAUGUGUCGCGAUGUUGCUCGCGAUUGUAGAUUCAGUGUUGUUUGUUGAUGCCGUGUUGUGCGACGAUGAAGAUUGAUGAUUGUCAAGGUUGAAGAGUUUUGAUUAUGGAGUGUGAAGUUUGCGAUGAUGAUGAUUGAAGUUUGCGAGCGCCACUACAAAGAUGAUGAUUGCACGUAUUGAGAGGCAUUACGAAGCUGAGAUCGAUGUUCUUGGAAGAAGAAGUGAAUUGGAGUGUGAAGGAGGAACUCGAUUCAGAUGUUGAAGAUGAUGAAUCGGUGAUGAAUUCCGGAUCGAGAGAAGGUUGUGAAGAUUGAAGGGAGCGUUGAGAUGAGUGAAGAUGCGAUGAAGAUGAAUCGGGAAUUGAGAGAGAGUUCCGAGAGUUUCUUUU